GGGGUGGAGAGGAUUGGGAGCACUUCAGAGAAAAGAUCUGAGAGAAAAGCCUGGGACUCUGCCACCCAGCUCCCUGGCCCCUGGGAGAAGCCAUGGCAGAUAUUUGGGAUGAGGCAGCAUGCUGGUCCCUCAGCAGCAUCCUUAUCACGUCAGCUGUGAGAGAAAUAAAACUGUGAGACUGUGAAGUGUAUAAAGGAUUCUACCGCUCUCCCGGGGCUUGGAGACCCACAGAUUGGAGAAAUCUCCAUCUCAAUCUUCUUUGCCACGUCAUGCAUGCCCUUGAAGCAUUAGAAUUCCUUAAAGCUUCAUGGGAGAAUGCCAUGGGAUGAUGAAGACAGAGAUUGGAGUCAUGCAUCUGCAAGCCAAGAAAUGUACAAGAUUGCUGGCAAACCACCAGAAGCUAGGAGCAGACAAGGAAGGAUCCUCCCCUAAAGGUUUCAGAGGGAGCCAUGGCCUUGCUGACAUCUUGAUUUCAGACUUCUAUCCUCCAGAAUGGGGACCUCUGAGGGUCUAUUUGAGGGCAUGAAUAUGGAAAAUUCAGCUCCAGCUCCUCCACCCCACUCCCUGAACAGCACUGCAGAACUGUGCUAAGCUCCUGUGGCUUGGAAAGAACAGAUGCAAGAGACAUAGGAAUGAAGAAAUAGAUGGUGUCACCUCCUUUAAUUUCCUAGAAAGAGAAAACAAGGCACUGAUGCAGCCCGCGAUGAGCAGGAAUGGGAACCUGCAAUCUCCUGGAAUCUGCAACACAUUGCUGCUCUAUCAGAAGAAGAAAUGCAAGGAAGAAGUCAGAUAAGAUGCUCUAACAAUCCUUGGGUCACUGGAUUCCUCCUAGAACCUCCCUUCCUUCUGGAAAGCCAUCAAAAGUAAAGGCACUGGCCCUAUAGGACCACAGGGUCACUUAAGGAACAUUACAGAGCAAUGAUUCUUGACCUUCUCAGCUUCAAACUCCCUUCUAGAAAUUGCACCCCCUUCCCCACCUCACACUAUUUGUUCCAAAGGCUUUUAUCUACCAAAGUUGAUGGGGGGGCUCUAAGAACAGCUUGAGAUUUACUGGUCAUACCCCAGAGUCCCUGUGCUGACAUCGACAUCUUUCCCAUCCACACAAAUUAUCCGUCGUUAACACAUGGACGUGCUAUAUUUCUAACCAAAUCAAAGAACUUGUACCGAUCUUUUCUGCAGCCUUAUUCUGAGUAAAUAUGUGAUUUCCAUUAGGCUUUUUGAAAUAUGUAAAAUAUAUAGACUCCCAUUACCACCUUCAGGACCUCUAGGUGUUUGGGGACCUUUACUAGGAAUUCACUCCUAUGCCCAAAAUGAGUUUGAAGAUGAAAAUUAUAGCUAGGCGGGGAAAGAACUGUUGGUGUAACAAGAUAUUUAAAAGCAAAAAUUUUUCCCCACCUGGGUAGGUCAGGGCCUAGCAUUGGAGAAAGGGAUGUUUUCAAAAUGAGAGUAACUGCUAAAGCAAAAUGUGUAAAACUGAGACAUUGGGCAAAGAAGGGAAAAGAAGGGAAGGGUGUUGGCUUAUAAGAGAAGACAAUUCUGCUGUGUUAAACUGUUUCCCCUGAAACAACAUUUCCACUCAGCUGGGAAAUUUUCUGGGCUCCUGAAACUUCAUUAGGUUUCUGGCAAUUACCCCAAGGAGACCCCCUAAAAGGUAGGCAAUAGUUACACAACUGACAUGCAUUGUGUGACAGAAAUAAAGGAAGCUGCACAUGCUUUUAUUCAUUAACGUAUUUUUUCCACAGUGCCAUAAGGAAGGAAAUUGUAAAUUUGUAAUCAGGCAGAUCUCUAAGUUUUCCAAGAAUGGCUGUUCUCUUCCCAACUAGGGUUAAAAGACAAUUUGUUGCACUCUGGGCAAAUCCCGACUUGGUUCCUGUCUUACUUAAGGUUUCAGAAAUAGUCAUAAAUCUUUUAAAAUAUUUAUUAUUAAUUCAUUUUGGGGCAGCUUUUAUGAUUCUAAAACUUCAGGAUCUGUUUGAAUGUUUCCUGAGUCUCAAGUUUCAUGGAGAAAGGCUGACAGGGAACCAAAUUCCACCAGUGGUUUGGUGGUGUGUGAGCAGGCCAUCAGCCAGAACAUUCUAACAUGUCUACAAAGGGCGUGAUUUGGGGUCGUCUCUGCCGAGAAAUUCUAUGGACUAGGGGGAAACACUUUCUUCUUUCCCCCAGUACUAUUUGGACUAGUUUCUAAAAAUGGACAGAAACACCCUGUCAGCCUUGUGAGAAAUCCAAUCAUCUUGUUAAUAAACAGAAAAGGGUACUAUCAACAUGACUUAUUUUCCACUAACUAGUUAAUGCAAGUAAGACAAGCUAAUAGGCAAAAUUCAGAUUUCAUUUCAUCUAUUGCUUCACCCCACACCAAAUGUAAAUGUAAAAGUCUCCUGAAUUGGGUGUGUUAUAAUCUCGGUCCACUGACAGAUUAUCUAGAAGCAGACUCACAUUUCCCCCAAAAAAGAACCCUGUAAAAAUAGCCAUUGCUCUGUGUAGAUAUCAAAUCUGUGCCUCCUGCAGGGAGUGCAGUGGAUGCAGAAACCCAAAUCCACCUUCAGGAGAGGCAGCCUGGAGGAGUAGCAUGAAGCAAGGAAAGAAGAGUUGGUGGAUGGGUUCUCAAAAAAUCUUCCUUACAGCCAAGUCUGUGAGGUCAGGGGAUAGUCUCCCAAGGGAAGUGGUGGGAGCCCCACAGUUAGAGGCAUUUAGAAGGGGCCUUGAUGGAAAAAUGGAAAUGUAACCCUAGGUUAAAAACUGUGCCCUGAAAAGGGAUAAGGGAGACAAGCUUAAAGAGAUUCUUUCAGCUCUAAUUUCUAAGAAUCCCAUUAG
rnacentral:lncRNA from 1 species